rnacentral:rRNA from 1 species
UUGUGAUAGUGAAUUAAAAGAUGGGGAGUCGGACCUGCCCGGUGAAUUUUUUUAACGGCCGCGGUACUCUGACCGUGCAAAGGUAGCAUAAUCAUUUGCCUUAUAAUUGAAGGCUGGUAUGAAUGGUUUGACAAGAAUAUAACUGUCUCUUUAUAAUUUGAUAGAAUUUUAUUUUUAGGUGAAAAAGCCUUGAUUUGAUUAAUAGACAAGAAGACCCUGUCGAGCUUUAAAGAAUUUAGUGGAUGAAGAAAUUGGUUAGAGGAUUUUAUCGUAUUGAAAAAGUAAGCUGCUAAAUAUUUUGGUUGGGGCGACUGAGGAACAUAAGAAGCUUCCUUUAAUAUUUUAUACAUACAGGUGUUGAUCCAAAGAUGUUGAUUAAAGGAAUUAGUUACCGUAGGGAUAACAGCAUUAUCCUUUUUGAGAGUUCUUAUUGAAAAAAAGGGUUUGUGACCUCGAUGUUGGACCAGAAUGUCCUGAAGAUGCAGAAGUCUUCGAGGGUUGGUCUGUUCGACCAUUAAAAUUCUA